CUCUAAUUUAAGAAAAAGUUAUAUGUAUGUAUGUAUCUGUGCAUCCAUUGCCACAGUGAGUUUAGAACAUUUUUAUUACCCCAAAAAGAAAAUCUCACACUUCUAAGCCAUUACCUCCCAAGCUGUAGACAACCACAAAUCCAUUUUCUGUCUCUGCAGAUUUGCCUAUCCUAGUCAUUUGACUGAAAUUAAAUCGUUAUAAUACAUGAUCCUUCAUGACUGGCUUGUUUCACUUAGCAUAGUGUUUUUAAGAUUUACCCUUAAUGUCAGAUAUAUCAGUUCUUCAUGUCUUUUUAUUGCCAAGUAAUUUUCCACAGCAUGGAUACACCACAUUUUGUUUAUCCAUUCAUCCGCUUUAAAUGUGACUGAUACAAUAUUGUAGAAAGGUACCAAGAGUGACCCUGGUUUUAUUUUAGCUUCCUAUUGCCAUAGUAACAAAUUGGCACAAAUAUUGUAUCUUUUAAGAAAACACAGAUUUAUUCUGUUCUGAAUUCAGAAGUCCGAAAGUAAGUUUCACUGGACCAAAGUCAAAGUGUUAGCACUACUUGCUUUUCUGGAGGCUCUAGGGGAGAACUUGUUUCUCUUCCUUUUCCAGCUUCUAAAGAAUACCAGCAUUCUUUGACUCAUGGCCCUGUCCUCUAUCUUCAAAUUCCACAGAGUAGCAUAUUGGUUUUAGUCAGGAUUCUGGAGAGAUACAAAAUUAAUAGAAUGGAUAGAGACAGGAUUUAUUAUAAGUAGUUGGCAUGGUAUUGCUAUAAAAAUAGACACACAGAUCAGUGGAACAGAGUAGAGAACCCAGAAACAAAGCCACAUACCUUCAACCAACCAGUAUUCAACAAAGUUGACAAAAAUACACAAUAGGGAGAGGACAGUCUCUGCAAUGAAUGAUGCUGGGAAAAUUGACUAGCCUAUGCAGAGAAAUUAAACUGGACCCCUAUCUCUCACCAUAUGCAAAAGUUAACUCAAGAUGGAUUAAACUCUUAAAUGAAGACCUAAAACUGUAUAAAUGCUGGAAGAGACUGGGUGCGUUGGCUCACGCCUGUAAUCCCAGCACUUUGGGAGGCCUUAGCCGGUGGAUCACAAGAUCAAGACAUUGAAGCCAUACUGGCCAACAUGGUGAAACCCCGUCUAUACGAAAAAUAAAAAAAUUAACUGGGUGUGGUGGCGUGCGCCUGUCGUCCCAGUUACUCUGGAGGCUGAGGCAGGAGAAUCGCUUAAACCCAGGAGGAUGGGGUUUCAAUGAGCCAGGAUUACCACUGCACUGUAGCCUGGCAACAGAGUGAGACU